AGUGAGUCAGACUGUCCAUAUUGGAUUCAUUGAUCUUCGGUGCACAGCAAUACACUUUUCAGGACUGAAGUAAGGAGCAAGGAGUAAUUUUAAAGAAUAAAAAAAAUCAAUGUCAAUACCAAAUGUUGUGCUUGAACAUCCAAUGCAUUUGAUAACUUGUCUUUUAUAAAAUGAAAUAUUACUGUUCAUAAAAGAUUUAACCCAUUGACAUGAUAAAGUCUUUCAUUUGUCAGCAAAAUUUGCUGUGGUUAGUAGACAGAGAAAGCUUAAAAUAAGUUUGAAGCAAUUUUGAACUGCAAUUGUCUACUUUUGGUGUAUGUGUUAGAGUGAAUAAUCAAGCCAUGCAAAGUAAUGUUUCCUGUAAUUUUGCUAAAACACAUAUGCCAAAAGGAGAAAAUCAAAGUUUAAAAUCGCUUGUGUGAACGGGCCUUAACAGGUGUGAAUUACCCAUGUUCUGUCAAAAUAUUUAAAAGGAUCCUCCCUGUCAUGGGGAGAUAAUUGCAGUAAAAUUGAUUAAUGAAUAAUAAAGUUUCCUCAAUGAUCA
rnacentral:lncRNA from 1 species